UGUGUUUGAUAGGGGGAAAACCAAUUCCGGAAUUGGUUUUACACGUUUUCCAGUGUUUGAUAGCAGGAAAAUAUUUUCCUUUUGUAAAACCAGUUCCGCAACACGGGAAAACCUAUUACAAAUUGGGGGAAAAUGUCUUACGCUUUUGAACUCGGUAAGACAUUUUCCGGAAUGAUGCCUUCUUCUCCCCUUUCCCCUUUCCCUUCCCCUCCCAUUUUCCCUUCCCCUUGGGCUGCAAAUCAGUUUGGUCAAGGACCUCUUCCGGUUCCUCCUUAAUCCAGGGUGUUGUAUACGCCAUAGAUAUGAUUAUGGAGCCAUCAUCCUACUAGGGAACAUCUUUGUGGCCAAUGUCUAAUCCCUUGCUCAAAUUACCAGUGAUGCCAUGGACUUGUGAUAGUUCACUAUUUGUCUGCUAGGUGAGCAGAUAUGGAAGAGAGCAAAGCUCUUCCCCAAAACGUAGAUGGAUAGGAUAAGAAGUGGACUAGGGUAAUCUUUUAUAUGAAACAGAGUAUUCAUUGAUGGUUUAUUGCAUUGCCUCUAGUGAGAUUCAUAGGCAUCUUCACUAAAUGUAUAUCAUAUGAUAACCAGUUGGGUUUGGGUUAAGUCUAAAACUGUUUUCUACUUUUUCUUUGUGCAUUUUUUGGCUAGGAUGAGUUGUACAGGGCAAGUAAAACAAAUCCUUAGCUUCUGAGAAUUUCCUAUUUCUUUUUCUGAAGAAUUUAGUCAGCUCUACUUGAUUGUAUCAAAGCAUCAAACUUGUAUAAAUAUGUGAAGCAAUGCCCCUAGAAAUGUGCAGAUGUUACUAUUAGCUAGUAGCUGCACUUCCUUAGAGUCUUCUAUUAGAUGUUUUCGUACCAAAGUUCAGCAGUAUAAUAGUCUGACGCCAUAUAUUUAUUUAACUAAAAUAUGGCUUGUGAUAUUUUGCUGCAUUUGAGGUAAUGUUCUUAAUAACAUUAAGAAAAUGAUAGUAAUUAUCCCCUUUCGUUUUAAUGCAUAUUUAAAUGGAAAUGGUUUUUUGUGAUCAAGAUGAAAAGAAUAGAGCACAUAUUUCAAAGUGGCUAAGGUUAUCCAUUAGAAUGUAUGGAAGUUUUGAGAAGUCAUUGGACGAGCUGAGAUCUUUUUUCAGAGAAGUCAAGGUCCGUUUUGAGUUCCUUUAUUAAUAUUUCCUUUCUUUUUAGACUGUUUGGUUUUCUUGUGCAUGGACUAUGGUCUAAUGGUGUUACAUAAGGUCUUUUCUCUGGCUUCACUUGUUUGCAGGACUUGGUUUUCAAGAACA